rnacentral:rRNA from 1 species
CCUACGUGAGGCUGCAGUGGGGAAUAUUGGACAAUGGGCGAAAGCCUGAUCCAGCCAUGCCGCGUGUGUGAAGAAGGCCUUCGGGUUGUAAAGCACUUUCAGUGGGGAAGAAAGCCUUGGGGCUAAUACCCUCGAGGAAGGACAUCACCCACAGAAGUAGCACCGGCUAACUCCGUGCCAGCAGCCGCGGUAAUACGGAGGGUGCGAGCGUUAAUCGGAAUUACUGGGCGUAAAGCGCGCGUAGGCGGUCUGAUAAGCCGGUUGUGAAAGCCCCGGGCUCAACCUGGGAACGGCAUCCGGAACUGUCAGGCUAGAGUGCAGGAGAGGAAGGUAGAAUUCCCGGUGUAGCGGUGAAAUGCGUAGAGAUCAGGAGGAAUACCAGUGGCGAAGGCGGCCUUCUGGACUGACACUGACGCUGAGGUGCGAAAGCGUGGGUAGCAAACAGGAUUAGAUACCCCUGUAGUC